rnacentral:rRNA from 1 species
AUUGAACGCUGGCGGCAUGCCUUACACAUGCAAGUCGAACGGCAGCACGGGUGCUUGCCCCUGGUGGUGAGUGGCGAACGGGUGAGUAAUACAUCGGAACAUGUCCUGUAGUGGGGGAUAGCCCGGCGAAAGCCGGAUUAAUACCGCAUACGAUCUACGGAUGAAAGCGGGGGACCUUCGGGCCUCGCGCUAUAGGGUUGGCCGAUGGCUGAUUAGCUAGUUGGUGGGGUAAAGGCCUACCAAGGCGACGAUCAGUAGCUGGUCUGAGAGGACGACCAGCCACACUGGGACUGAGACACGGCCCAGACUCCUACGGGAGGCAGCAGUGGGGAAUUUUGGACAAUGGGCGAAAGCCUGAUCCAGCAAUGCCGCGUGUGUGAAGAAGGCCUUCGGGUUGUAAAGCACUUUUGUCCGGAAAGAAAUCCUUGGCUCUAAUACAGUCGGGGGAUGACGGUACCGGAAGAAUAAGCACCGGCUAACUACGUG